UGAUAAUACGUUUUGCCUUUCGAAAUUGCGUGCGAAAGAAAAAUGGUAAACAUCUUGACUUUUAUUCGAUUUCAUCCUCAAACUGACUUGCCGUGUCUGCGGACCAAUGCUCACUAAACAGGAAUAAAACGGAUUGAACUAUUUCAUCUUGAAGUGUGUUAAUAGGAAUAUAUCCAGCAACCUGUCUGAAGUUUUGCCAGAACAACUACAACAUUGGACCACAUGCAUUGGAACCUUAUUAUUUAAGGACUACCAAUGGGGAAGGACUGUAUUUAAUUGUUGCUGUUAACUAUCUUGGUACCAGUUAUGCCAACAUUUACCUACCUGCAAUCAUAGCUGUUGCAGUGGUUUCCAGUGUUCGCUGGCAGAAAUACAAAGUGGUACCACCAGUCGUCUAUGCCACCUUUCCCCUCAUUUUAGAGGCUAAUGUGGACAGUCCCUGCAGUUUACAGCUAAGCCCUCAGUAUAGCCCUACAAAUUUUAGAUACUGCCGAUGGCGCGUAGAUCCAGUACAUUGGGCCUGAGUUUCCAGUACGCCGAACUAGAGCCAGGAUUAAUAUCAGACGGACCUCUCUGUGGGUGGAUGGAUUCAGAGAUGACCCCAAAGAUGCGGCCAUGACUGUGUCACAUGGACGUUAUUGAUGAAACCAUCAUGAUUUAGUUUUUUGGUGAUAAAUCAACAGACAAAGUGUGUAUAAUUUGUGGAUAAAUAGUGUUAAAGCUAGAAACUUUUCUACGAAUUCCUACUCAAGUGGUGAACUGGAAUAAUAUUGUUUAUAACAAAGAAGAGAAUCUUGUUGUGGGCCGUCUUCAUACACAAUUCUGCAGUCAUCUGCACUAGACCUGUUGGGGCAGUUUGAUUCGAUUUAUCAGUGGCUCUACUUAAAGCAAGCUUUUGUUUUCACAAGCUUGAUGUAAUAUAUUCUUCUUAUUUUCAAACUGAAAACAACCAUUUGACAAGUUCCAUGACAUAUUUAAGGCAUAUUUUCCGAAAAUGUAAAAAAGUUACAACUGUUCAAAUACAUGAUUGUUUUUGAGUGAAAAUUUAAGAAAUAAGAAAUUCUACCUCUUUUAAACCCAAUAUACUGGCUUGGAGAACGAAAUCCAUCUCUGACAUUGCCAGAGGUUCUGUUCAAACUCGUAAAUACUUUUAAUAAUUCGGAUAGUGGAUUCAAUUGACUGUAACAUGACUGUAUAUUUCUUAUGUACAAAAUUAAUGUUUAUUUUUUUCUGAAUAGUUAUGUUUAAACUUUUUAUGCAGCCAAUGGUGUUUUGGGCUUUUGUUAAAGAUGCACUCCAACUCCCAAAUGAGAUUUACCACAAUUCAUAAUAUUAUUUAAAUAUUCCAAAAAGGAUGAAUAAAUGUCAAAAACAAUGGUUCUUAUGAAGGAUACCCAGUUUAAUUUUAAAGAAAUGAGCAUAAAACACGGUAUUUCUACCUUAUGUGACUAUAGUAGACCACAGUAAAUCUUUUAGCAUUCACCAAACAUUUAAUAUGUUUUGCGCUUUUGCUAUUAAAUACAUGGUUACAAUCUUGUGAUCAGUAAUUAAUAAUUUUCAUAAAUGCAUUAUUUAGUUUAAGUAGUUACAGGCUUAUCAGUCAAAACUGAUGUUUGUUGUACAUGUGUAUGUAUUGAUUUGGAAUAAGAGUGUCACUUUAAUCAUAAGCAUCUAGAUUUUCUAUAUAUUUGUAAACAUGUACACUAUUUAUUUAUCUCUGCAUCUUUUAUUUUGAACCAUAAGGGAUCAAAUGCUGUUUAAAUCACUUAUUAUAUAUAUCUUUUUAAGUGACAUAUAUGUAUUAAAAUGUCCUUAUUAUUAUUGCCAUCAUGUGAUUGUAGAAUAAAAGUUGAGACCAGUUUGUGGUAGCCUGUGAGUCAUUCAAGACAUGUUGUUGUGAUAUAUAUUUCAUCAUAGUUUUGACAAAUGGGAACAAAUGCUUUAAAAAUAUGUUUUACUAUACAUGUACUUUGAUAAUGUAAGGCUCCAUAAAUGGAGUCUGUUUUGUUUUAUAUUGUGUAUUUUACUUUUAAUUCUCUUUUAUAAUCAAUGCGAAGACUUGUGCAAUAAAUUUCUUUCUAG